rnacentral:rRNA from 1 species
UGGGGAAUAUUGCACAAUGGGCGCAAGCCUGAUGCAGCCAUGCCGCGUGUGUGAAGAAGGUCUUCGGAUUGUAAAGCACUUUAAGUUGGGAGGAAGGGCAUUAACCUAAUACGUUAGUGUUUUGACGUUACCGACAGAAUAAGCACCGGCUAACUCUGUGCCAGCAGCCGCGGUAAUACAGAGGGGGCAAGCGUUAAUCGGAAUUACUGGGCGUAAAGCGCGCGUAGGUGGUUUGUUAAGUUGGAUGUGAAAUCCCCGGGCUCAACCUGGGAACUGCAUUCAAAACUGACUGACUAGAGUAUGGUAGAGGGUGGUGGAAUUUCCUGUGUAGCGGUGAAAUGCGUAGAUAUAGGAAGGAACACCAGUGGCGAAGGCGACCACCUGGACUAAUACUGACACUGAGGUGCGAAAGCGUGGGGAGCAAACA